rnacentral:rRNA from 1 species
GUCGAGCGGUAACAGAUCUAGCUUGCUAGAUGCUGACGAGCGGCGGACGGGUGAGUAACGCGUAGGAAACUGCCGAGUAGUGGGGGAUAGCCCAGAGAAAUUUGGAUUAAUACCGCAUACGCCCUACGGGGGAAAGGAGGGGAUCUUCGGACCUUUCGCUAUUCGAUGUGCCUGCGUGAGAUUAGCUUGUUGGUGAGGUAAAGGCUCACCAAGGCGACGAUCUCUAGCUGGUUUGAGAGGAUGAUCAGCCACACUGGGACUGAGACACGGCCCAGACUCCUACGGGAGGCAGCAGUGGGGAAUAUUGCACAAUGGGGGAAACCCUGAUGCAGCCAUGCCGCGUGUGUGAAGAAGGCCUUCGGGUUGUAAAGCACUUUCAGCAGUGAGGAAAGGUUGUAAGUUAAUACCUUGCAGCUAUGACGUUAACUGCAGAAGAAGGACCGGCUAACUCCGUGCCAGCAGCCGCGGUAAUACGGAGGGUCCGAGCGUUAAUCGGAAUUACUGGGCGUAAAGCGCGCGUAGGCGGCUAGGUCAGUCAGAUGUGAAAGCCCCGGGCUUAACCUGGGAAUUGCAUCUGAUACUGCUUGGCUAGAGUACAGAAGAGGGUGGUGGAAUUUCCUGUG